rnacentral:rRNA from 1 species
AGUGAACGCUGGCGGUAGGCCUAACACAUGCAAGUCGAACGGCAGCACAGUAAGAGCUUGCUCUUACGGGUGGCGAGUGGCGGACGGGUGAGGAAUACAUCGGAAUCUACUUUUUCGUGGGGGAUAACGUAGGGAAACUUACGCUAAUACCGCAUACGACCUACGGGUGAAAGCAGGGGAUCUUCGGACCUUGCGCGAUUGAAUGAGCCGAUGUCGGAUUAGCUAGUUGGCGGGGUAAAGGCCCACCAAGGCGACGAUCCGUAGCUGGUCUGAGGGGAUGAUCAGCCACACUGGAACUGAGACACGGUCCAGACUCCUACGGGAGGCAGCAGUGGGGAAUAUUGGACAAUGGGCGCAAGCCUGAUCCAGCCAUACCGCGUGGGUGAAGAAGGCCUUCGGGUUGUAAAGCCCUUUUGUUGGGAAAGAAAAGCAGCAGGUUAAUACCCCGCUGUUCCGACGAUACCCAAAGAAUAAGCACCGGCUAACUUCGUG